rnacentral:rRNA from 1 species
UACGGAGGGGGCUAGCGUUGUUCGGAAUUACUGGGCGUAAAGCGCGCGUAGGCGGACCUGCAAGUCGGGGGUGAAGGCCCGAGGCUCAACCUCGGAACUGCCUUCGAUACUGCGGGUCUCGAGUCCGGGAGAGGUGAGUGGAAUUCCUAGUGUAGAGGUGAAAUUCGUAGAUAUUAGGAAGAACACCAGUGGCGAAGGCGGCUCACUGGCCCGGUACUGACGCUGAGGCGCGAAAGCGUGGGGAGCUAACAGG